GCCAAAGAUAGAAUUUUUAGAGUAACUAACAAGGGUUUACUGGGCCGUCGAGCGGAUCCAGCCAAGGAUCAAGGAUAAGGUAGAUAGAUCUCACGCUUUCCUCCGCCUUUUCCUCGCAGGCUCGCACCCACGGCUGAAUUCCCGCCUCAAAAGAGGCGCCCGGCGACUCACCGGUCACCUCUUGUGCUCUUGCUCUCGGCUCGUGCGCCACCGCUGCCUCUACUGCUCCUCACGAGAGGCACGUACUAGUACCGGUAUAGGGACAGUAGAGCUGCGACUGCGAGCAACGACUCCACUC
rnacentral:lncRNA from 1 species